CCUACGGGUGGCAGCAGUGAGGAAUAUUGGUCAAUGGCCGUAAGGCUGAACCAGCCAAGUCGCGUGAAGGAAGAAGGAUCUAUGGUUUGUCAACUUCUUUUAUAGGGGAAUAAAGGUAUCCACGUGUGGAUAUUUGCAUGUACCCUAUGAAUAAGCAUCGGCUAACUCCGUGCCCGCAGCCGCGGUAAUCCGGAGGAUGCGAGAGUUAGCCGGAUUUAGUGGGUUGAAAGGGUUCGUAGGUUGUUUUUUAAGUCAGCGGUGAAAGUUGGUGGAUCAACCAUAAAAUUGCCGUUGAAACUGGAAGAUGUGAGUUUGGUUGAGGUAUGCCGAAUGCGUGGUGUAGCGGGGAAAUGCAUAGAUAUCACGCAGAACUCCGAUUGCGAAGGCAGCUUACUAAGCCAUAACUGACACUGAAGCACGAAAGCGUGGGGAUCAAACAGGAGUAGAUACCCCGGUAGUC
rnacentral:rRNA from 1 species